UUAAAUUGAAGAGUUUGAUCAUGGCUCAGAUUGAACGCUGGCGGCAGGCCUAACACAUGCAAGUCGAACGGUAACAGGAAGCAGCUUGCUGCUUCGCUGACGAGUGGCGGACGGGUGAGUAAUGUCUGGGAAACUGCCUGAUGGAGGGGGAUAACUACUGGAAACGGUGGCUAAUACCGCAUAACGUCGCAAGACCAAAGAGGGGGACCUUCGGGCCUCUUGCCAUCAGAUGUGCCCAGAUGGGAUUAGCUAGUUGGUGAGGUAACGGCUCACCAAGGCGACGAUCCCUAGCUGGUCUGAGAGGAUGACCAGCCACACUGGAACUGAGACACGGUCCAGACUCCUACGGGAGGCAGCAGUGGGGAAUAUUGCACAAUGGGCGCAAGCCUGAUGCAGCCAUGCCGCGUGUAUGAAGAAGGCCUUCGGGUUGUAAAGUACUUUCAGCGGGGAGGAAGGUGUUGUGGUUAAUAACCGCAGCAAUUGACGUUACCCGCAGAAGAAGCACCGGCUAACUCCGUGCCAGCAGCCGCGGUAAUACGGAGGGUGCAAGCGUUAAUCGGAAUUACUGGGCGUAAAGCGCACGCAGGCGGUCUGUCAAGUCGGAUGUGAAAUCCCCGGGCUCAACCUGGGAACUGCAUUCGAAACUGGCAGGCUUGAGUCUUGUAGAGGGGGGUAGAAUUCCAGGUGUAGCGGUGAAAUGCGUAGAGAUCUGGAGGAAUACCGGUGGCGAAGGCGGCCCCCUGGACAAAGACUGACGCUCAGGUGCGAAAGCGUGGGGAGCAAACAGGAUUAGAUACCCUGGUAGUCCACGCCGUAAACGAUGUCUACUUGGAGGUUGUGCCCUUGAGGCGUGGCUUCCGGAGCUAACGCGUUAAGUAGACCGCCUGGGGAGUACGGCCGCAAGGUUAAAACUCAAAUGAAUUGACGGGGGCCCGCACAAGCGGUGGAGCAUGUGGUUUAAUUCGAUGCAACGCGAAGAACCUUACCUGGUCUUGACAUCCACAGAAGAAUCCAGAGAUGGAUUUGUGCCUUCCGGAACUGUGAGACAGGUGCUGCAUGGCUGUCGUCAGCUCGUGUUGUGAAAUGUUGGGUUAAGUCCCGCAACGAGCGCAACCCUUAUCCUUUGUUGCCAGCGGUUAGGCCGGGAACUCAAAGGAGACUGCCAGUGAUAAACUGGAGGAAGGUGGGGAUGACGUCAAGUCAUCAUGGCCCUUACGACCAGGGCUACACACGUGCUACAAUGGCGCAUACAAAGAGAAGCGACCUCGCGAGAGCAAGCGGACCUCAUAAAGUGCGUCGUAGUCCGGAUUGGAGUCUGCAACUCGACUCCAUGAAGUCGGAAUCGCUAGUAAUCGUGGAUCAGAAUGCCACGGUGAAUACGUUCCCGGGCCUUGUACACACCGCCCGUCACACCAUGGGAGUGGGUUGCAAAAGAAGUAGGUAGCUUAACCUUCGGGAGGGCGCUUACCACUUUGUGAUUCAUGACUGGGGUGAAGUCGUAACAAGGUAACCGUAGGGGAACCUGCGGUUGGAUCACCUCCUUACCUUAAAGAAGC
rnacentral:rRNA from 3 species